rnacentral:tRNA from 1 species
GCCCCCGUAGCUCAGGGGAUAGAGCAGUGGUUUCCUAAACCGCGUGUCGGUGGUUCAAGUCCGCCCGGGGGCGCCA